GAGCCUUCAAGGUAAGAGAAAAUAAUAAGAAAAAAUGUAGACACUAAAUAGUGAAAAUUGAUAAAUGAAAAAUGAUACUCAAUCAUAACUAAAAGCAGAGACAACAGGAAAAAUGUAUGGUGAAAAAUAAUAAUAAAUAGUGGUAGUUGUUAAUGGGAUCUAUUUAUGAAUGAAUGGAGUGAAAUUGAACUCCUCAUUCAGUCCCUUGGGGUAUAAAGUUUGAAACAGAUAAAUCCAGCGGGAUUCGGCUUUAAGUAAUGCAAUAUUAAUAUCGCCUUUCCUAUGAUUUUGAAAGACCUUUCGUAUUACUUGAAAUUUAAGUACACUAGGUCUGGAAUCAUGAUUCAGACGUACGUGUCUAGCUAUAGGGGUAUCCAUAUGGGGAUUUAGAAUUGAAUUGAUGUGUUGUAAGACACGUCGACGUAACUGUUGAUAGGUCUUACCAAUAUACUGUAGUCCACAGUCACAGGUAAUUAUGUAAAUGACAUUGGUGGAACUACAGUUAAUGAAGGAAUUAACCUCUAUGUCUGUCCCAGUUUUCUGAUUGCGUACUUUUUUAGAUGGAAAGAUGAAAUUGCAGGCUUUACAAUGCCCACAUCUGUAAAGGCCUUUCGUCUCAAGCCAAGUUGGCUUAGUUGGUAGUGGUUUCAUAUGGCUAUGAGUUAAUAGGUCUGCAAGGUUUUUGGCUCUGCGAUACGUUAAAGAGGGUCUACUAGUAAUAGUACUCUUAAUAAGUGUGUCAUAUUGAAGUAAUGGCCAGUUGCGAUUAAACACCUGUAAGGUGUUGUUCCAAUUUUUAUCAUAGGUCCCUAUGAG